rnacentral:rRNA from 1 species
UUUGACUGGCUCAGAUUGAACGCUGGCGGCAGGCCUAACACAUGCAAGUCGAGCGGAAACGACAUUAUUGAAUCUUCGGAGGAUUUAAUGGGCGUCGAGCGGCGGACGGGUGAGUAAUGCCUAGGAAAUUGCCUUGAUGUGGGGGAUAACCAUUGGAAACGAUGGCUAAUACCGCAUAAUGCCUACGGGCCAAAGAGGGGGAUCUUCGGACCUCUCGCGUCAAGAUAUGCCUAGGUGGGAUUAGCUAGUUGGUGAGGUAAUGGCUCACCAAGGCGACGAUCCCUAGCUGGUCUGAGAGGAUGAUCAGCCACACUGGAACUGAGACACGGUCCAGACUCCUACGGGAGGCAGCAGUGGGGAAUAUUGCACAAUGGGCGAAAGCCUGAUGCAGCCAUGCCGCGUGUAUGAAGAAGGCCUUCGGGUUGUAAAGUACUUUCAGUUGUGAGGAAGGGGGUAACGUUAAUAGCGUUAUCUCUUGACGUUAGCAACAGAAGAAGCACCGGCUAACUCCGUGCCAGC